rnacentral:rRNA from 1 species
UAGGGAAUCUUCCACAAUGGACGAAAGUCUGAUGGAGCAACGCCGCGUGAGUGAAGAAGGGUUUCGGCUCGUAAAACUCUGUUGUUAAAGAAGAACAUAUCUGAGAGUAACUGUUCAGGUAUUGACGGUAUUUAACCAGAAAGUCACGGCUAACUACGUGCAAG